UGGGGAAUCUUCCGCAAUGGACGAAAGUCUGACGGAGCAACGCCGCGUGAGUGAAGACGGCCUUCGGGUUGUAAAGCUCUGUGAUCCGGGACGAAAGAGCCUGAGGUGAAUAGCCUAAGGAAGUGACGGUACCGGAAAAGCAAGCCACGGCUAACUACGUGCCAGCAGCCGCGGUAAUACGUAGGUGGCAAGCGUUGUCCGGAAUUAUUGGGCGUAAAGCGCGCGCAGGCGGCUUCCUAAGUCCAUCUUAAAAGUGCGGGGCUUAACCCCGUGAUGGGCUGGAAACUGGGAAGCUGGAGUAUCGGAGAGGAAAGUGGAAUUCCUAGUGUAGCGGUGAAAUGCGUAGAGAUUAGGAAGAACACCGGUGGCGAAGGCGACUUUCUGGACGAAAACUGACGCUGAGGCGCGAAAGCGUGGGGAGCAAACAGG
rnacentral:rRNA from 1 species